UACGAAGGGUGCAAGCGUUACUCGGAAUUACUGGGCGUAAAGCGUGCGUAGGUGGUUGUUUAAGUCUGAUGUGAAAGCCCUGGGCUCAACCUGGGAAUUGCAUUGGAUACUGGCAGGCUAGAGUGCGGUAGAGGAUGGCGGAAUUCCCGGUGUAGCAGUGAAAUGCGUAGAGAUCGGGAGGAACAUCUGUGGCGAAGGCGGCCAUCUGGACCAGCACUGACACUGAGGCACGAAAGCGUGGGGAGCAAACAGG
rnacentral:rRNA from 1 species